rnacentral:rRNA from 1 species
UGGGGAAUAUUGCGCAAUGGCCGAAAGGCUGACGCAGCGACGCCGCGUGUGGGAUGACGGCCCUCGGGUUGUAAACCACUGUCGGGGGGGACGAAUACAGGGCCUCGAAUAGGGGACCCUGGGUGACGGUACCUCCAAAGGAAGCACCGGCUAACUCCGUGCCAGCAGCCGCGGUAAUACGGAGGGUGCGAGCGUUGUCCGGAAUCACUGGGCGUAAAGGGCGCGUAGGCGGUUCGUUAAGUUGCUGGUGAAAUCCCGGGGCUCAACUCCGGGGCUGCCAGUAAGACUGGCGAGCUAGAGCACGGUAGAGGCGGAUGGAAUUCCCGGUGUAGCGGUGGAAUGCGUAGAUAUCGGGAAGAAUACCGGUGGCGAAGGCGUUCCGCUGGGCCGUUGCUGACGCUGAGGCGCGACAGCGUGGGGAGCAAACAGGAUUAGAUACCCCCGUAGUCC